CCGACCAAAACUCUCAUCCUCUUGGUUCUUCGAAUCCAACCAGACCAGAACUCGACGCCUCGUCCUCCUUCUUUUUCGAGUCAGACCAGCUCCUGUGCUCGAAGACAGUGAACAGGAUCGGAGAUCGAGGCCGCCGUUUCGGAGAAACUUUGAGCUUCUGAGUCAUAGGAUUUGUGUUUCAUCUACCGAGGCAUUCUUCAUUGAGCUGGGCAAAGUUCGAAGCUUUGCAUGACCAUGUAACUGGAGCUUUCUGGGCAUUCUUUAUCUCUGGUUCGCUCUUUCUCAAUUCUUGUCAUUGUUUGUCACUGAUUUGGGAAAUUUUGGGGAUUUUGUUGAGUUUUAGGUUUCGGUUUUUGCAAAUUUUGGGUCUUAAACUAAACCAUAAGCUUAAAUUUCCAAACUUUGUUGGACCCAUUUCACCAAACGUAGCAUACAUGUCCUUGAGUGGUCCGCCAAUGUCAAAUUUUGCUUGUUUAUCAACUAAAAAGCUUCACAUUAUCAAUAUGAUUUGCUUCAAGGAAGGUGCAUGCUUUUGUGUUUGUGCUUCAAGGAAGGUACAUGUCCUUGAUUGAUUGAUUGUCCUGUUUGCAACGACUUCGGCGUUUAAACCGACUUCAACUUUGUCAUCAAGAUCGAUCUUGAUCAAAAUUCGUUCAGAAGCAUCCACAGAUCUAGAGAGAUAGAGUCAGACUGAGACUGCGAUCUGAUCCAUCACCGCUGCAGAAAAAUAUAUUAUACUGUUGGAAUCGAGAGAGCGAGAGAAGAGGUGUACACAUCAUCCUCCAGCCGAUGCUCCUUUGCGCCUUGAUUGGCAUUAUUUUAACGUUUUCUUCUUUAGGUCUUUGGAAUGGCGUGCUGUCAAGUUCUUUAACUGUUUCGAAUCCAAGUAUACAUUUGAGAUGAUGUAUUUGUGCUUUCUGUGAUUGGGUAUGACUUUUAGUGCUAGCAUUUUUGGCAUUCAUGUCAUUCCAUAUGGGAAAAUUGUUGGUUCUAAGUAGCUUUGGUUCUGGGUUGCACCCAGACAAUUCACUUUGAAAUAUAGUCAGAUGCCUGUUUUUGCUUAUUGCUUAUAUGAUCAUUUACAAUAUUAUACAAAGCUUCAGGUUGGGAUCUAUUUAACCUUUUGCAGCAUCUAAGAUAUAUCUGUAGCAUUUCUAGAAAUGCAUCCAUUUGUAGAUUUCAGUGUAAUUUGUGAUUGUGUUAAAAUAACAAAGCUUCCGAUCUGUUCUAGCUGACUUUGCAUUUGUUCUAUUGAGGAAAACAUUGCUUCUUGGAUCUGUACAAAGAUUCCUUUACAUGUUGCAUUGGUUUUAGUUUCUUUUAGGCAAUUCUGAAAUCUCUGGUUGUUGUUCUGUGCAUAUUGUUAUGAUGGACCCCUCCAGUUUCUCUCUCUCUCUUUUUUUUGGUUCUUGCACAAAGCAUUGUGUUAUGUAAGUUUUUUUCUGUGAAACGUAGUAGGUUUUUUUUUUCCCCUUAUUGAUUGGAUUUGAUUUGAUUUGGUUUUUGGUUGUACUUCUUUUCCCAUUUUAAUUUUCUUCAAUUGUGUGGAACUAUCUUUUAUUGAAAGAACGCUUUUUUAUGAUCUGUGAGCUGUAAUUAUCGGAGAAGUGAACUUUGAGAGGAUCAAUAAUUAGUAGGUAAGGGAUCACAAUACGUGGUAGCUGAAUUUGAUUACUAUAUGCUAACAUAAAAUUAUCUAAGUACUUCUUCCUCAUUUUGCAGAUUUUAGGAACAGUGUGCUGUCUGGUUCUUUAACUGUUUCAAAUUCAGGUAUACUUGGUAUCUUUUGGAGUUAUUAGUUGUUAAAAUAAACUUAGCAAAAUAAUUUUAAAUCAUCUUUGUUCAGGUCAAAUGAGAUUAGAAUUUAAGAUUUGUCCAGUCAAAACCAGGCUUUACUGGUCCUGUCAAGGACU